rnacentral:tRNA from 1 species
AAUCUUAUAGUCAAAAUGAUUUUAAAUUGCAAAUUUAAAGGUAAGAAUAUUCUUUAAGGUUU